rnacentral:tRNA from 1 species
AGUCCCGUAGUGUAGUGGUCAAUCACGGGGGGUUCUGGUCCCCCUAACCGAGGUUCGAAUCCUCGCGGGACUA